rnacentral:rRNA from 1 species
AAAGGGGGCAACCCCCGGUACAGUGGCGCACGGGUGAGUAACACGUGGAUGACCUCCCCCCGAGUGGUGGAUACCCUGCCGAAAGGCGGGCUAAUACAGCAUAAGACCACGGCGCUACGGCGCUGGGGUCAAAGCCGGCCGCUGUUCACACGCUGGCGCUUGGGGAUGGGUCCGCGGCCCAUCAGCUCGUUGGCGAGGUAAUGGCUCACCAAGGCGACGACGGGUAGCUGGUCUGAGAGGACGAUCAGCCACACUGGAACUGAGACACGGUCCAGACUCCUACGGGAGGCAGCAGUGGGGAAUCUUGCGCAAUGGGCGAAAGCCUGACGCAGCGACGCCGCGUGGGCGAUGAAGGCCUUCGGGUUGUAAAGCCCUGUGGGGCGGGACGAACAAGCUUGGGGUGAACAAUCCCGAGCUCUGACGGUACCGCCUUAGCAAGCACCGGCUAACUCUGUGCCAGCAGCCGCGGUAAGACAGAGGGUGCGAACGUUGCUCGGAAUUACUGGGCGUAAAGCGUGUGCAGGCGGUCCCGUGCAUCGGAUGUGAAAGCCCGGGGCUCAACCCCGGAAGUGCACCCGAGAUGGCGGGACUGGAGUGGCGGAGAGGAGCGCGGAAUUCCCGGUGUAGAGGUGAAAUUCGUAGAUAUCGGGAGGAACACCAGCGGCGCAGGCGGCGCUCUGGACGCACACUGACGCUGAGACACGAAAGCGUGGGGAGCAAACAGGAUUAGAUACCCUGGUAGUCCACGCCGUAAACGAUGAUGACUGGGUGUCGCGGGUAUUGA